UGGGUCCUUGGCGCUGCGAGGCAGCAGUGCUAACCAUUGAGCCACUAGGCCACCCGAACAUUCAAGAAGAUAGAAUGCAUCUGCCUUAAACUUUUGUCCAACUUCCAGCUCACCCUUAUUCCAUUUUCUGGCAAGAUGUGAAAACUUCAGAUGGUGUGGCCAUAGGGAACUUGCUUUCUUCUCCAAUGCUCCUUUCUAAUGCCAACCCUCCCCUUCUGCAUUUAUGUUUCCAAAUAUCCAAGAACUGCUUCCUAACCGGUCAUUGCAGCUCCAUAAGAACAGGAUAUUUGUGUCACUGGAUAGCAUUUAUUACCCACCCCUAAUUACCUAGAGGGCAAUUAAGGAUCAAGUACACUGUUGUGGGUCUCAAUUCACAUAUUGGACAAACCAGUCCAAAGAAGACCUAACAUUAAAGAAAGCCAUUCAGAUGGUGAGUGAAGCAGAGGUCCAAAACAAACACAGAUUAAUCCCAAGAGGAGAAGAUCAAACCUAGCACAGAAGGUCAUCAAAAUUCAUUCAAUUCAUAAGAAGAUGUGCUGAAGCAGGACACAGCCAAAGGAAAGCAAAAGAGAAAUGAGGUAGAACAAUCUCCAGUAGAAGACUUACCCAAAGUUUACUGGUAGAAAUUGGUGACCCAGACCUAAUGUUUGACAAGCUAUUUCUAUUAAUUAACAUCUCAUGAAUAUCUCAAAGUAGAUGCCAUCAGAAAUAACGCAAUAGUAUCACAAGGUGAGCCUUCUGUUACUGAUAGAAGUGCAAUUAUAUGGUCUAUGGCAUGUAACACUUAAUGUUAAAGAUAAACUUCAACAUCCCUUCAACAUGGAGAAUACCAAAUAUCAAAAUAAACUAUAUGUACUUCAA